AGUUCACCAGCGCACAAAUCCAUUGUUUAAAGGCUUUCAAAAAUGUCUAAAAUCCAACAGCUGAGAACGUUGUUGGAACAACGUUUAAAUGGUGCUGAUAUGGACAUAUUUUGGGUGUUUGAAAAAGCAGUCGCAGAACAAGGAGAAGUUGUUUCUCGUUUAAAAGAAGAAAACAAGCGGCUGAAAAUGCUGGAUGCAGUUUUCAAGCCUGAAGUUCGUCUCUACAAAGCAGACAUGAAGCAGCCAUUUGUGGAUAAAGAUGUUGCUGAGUAGGAGGAGCAGAUUCUGAGAUUGGACCAGGAUGACCCAAAGUCCUUGAACACUAAUCAACAACAGGAGAAAGAGCAGCUUCACGGGCUGGAAGAUGCUGUUGUCAGCAAGUUCGCUCUCACCUUUUUCCCUGUGAAGACUGGAAAUCGUGAAGAAAACCCACAAUCAAAGUUUCAUUCAAGCCUAACUGAUGAGAACACAGAGGCUGCAGCUAGCAGUUCAGCUAAACACAGCACACUGAAAACGUGAUGAGAGCUUUACUUUCUAGAUUUAAGAUUAGAUUAGAUUUUUUUAGAUUUAAAUGCAGUCUGUACAAUCAAAUUAGAAUACAUACAAGAGAGAAACCAUUUGGCUGUUCUGAGUGCGGUAAAAGGUUUGGAUGAAAAUAUUACUGGGAGAGACAUGACAAUUCAUACAAAAGAGAAACCAUUUAGCUGCUCCGAGUGUGGCAAAAGAUUUGCAUGAAAGGAGAAAAUGGAUAUCCACAUGUGCAUUCAUAUAACAGAGAAACCAUAUGCCUGUUCAGAGUGUUGCAAAACAUUUUCACAAAAACACAAAUGGAUGCCCACAUGAGCAUUCAUAGAGACCAGUUCUGAGUACAGUAAUAUAUUUAGUCAAAAAAUAUAGUUGAAUCACAUGCUUACACAUACUACAGAGAAACCCAUUGGCUGCUUUAAGUGUGGUUAAAAAAAUUGGGAGAAAGCUUUAUCUGAGGAGACACAUCACAGUUCAUACAGGAUUGAAACAAUCUGGUUGCUCUAUGUGUGGUAGAUAUUUUAGGUCCCAGGACUACCAUAUUUCCUUAAUUAAAUGCGUGACCUUGAAUAGGGGCCUGCUUCAUUUAAUGGCCGGAUCAAAACAUCAUUUGAAAAAAAAAAAAGCCUACUUAAAUAAGCACCAGGCAUUAUGUGCAUAAAACGACUACAUUUGGUCGAGUCACUUU